AAAACUGCAAAAAAAACUUUAAACAUCAAACAUCAAAGCAUUCAGAACAGCACAUCAUCAUAACAGGGGAACAAUCUUCACCAACACUCAGUCAGAGGAGCUAGCAUCUUCAUUAGCUUCAGACCCAGAACUGCCACUUGAUUUAUCUUGAGAUUCAGACCUCUCACUAGAUGUGUGGGCUUCUGUUUCCUUGGCUUGACCAACAUUAUCUAUAUCUCCUUGCUCCAAGGUAUUAAUCAGAACCUCCAAAGCUUCUUUCCUAGCUUUAGCCACCCUUAUCUCAGU
rnacentral:lncRNA from 1 species